rnacentral:tRNA from 1 species
UGGCUGAGUGGUUAAAAGCACUGGCUGCUCUUCCAGAGGUCCUGAGUUCAAAUCUCAG